rnacentral:rRNA from 1 species
UCAUGAUUUAGCCAGAAAAUCUCAAGCAAAGAGCACUUUAGUUUGAUUCCCCGAAACUACGUGAGCUACUCCAAGACAGCCUAACAUAGGGCAAACCCGUCUCUGUGGCAAAAGAGUGGGAAGAGCUUUGAGUAGAGGUGACAGACCUACCGAACCUAGUUAUAGCUGGUUGCCUGAGAAAUGAAUAGAAGUUCAGCCUAUCGGAUUCUUCCCUCACCUUUAUAUUUUUUACAACAACCAAAAGAAACCGAAAGAGUUAGUCAAAGGGGGUACAGCCCCUUUGACACAAGACACAACUUUUCCAGGAGGGUAAAGAUCAUACUCAAACACCAAGGUAAGAUGUUUUGGUGGGCCUAAAAGCAGCCACCCCUACAGAAUGCGUUAAAGCUCAAACAUACCUACCACCCAUAAUCCUGACAACCCUAUCUUAACCCCCUAACCCUACCAGGCCAUCCCAUGCAAACAUGGGAGUGACCAUGCUAAUAUGAGUAAUAAGAGAGCAUUAGCCUCUCUCCCUGCAC